GAUGAACGCUGGCGGCGUGCCUAAUACAUGCAAGUCGAGCGAACAGACGAGGAGCUUGCUCCUCUGACGUUAGCGGCGGACGGGUGAGUAACACGUGGAUAACCUACCUAUAAGACUGGGAUAACUUCGGGAAACCGGAGCUAAUACCGGAUAAUAUAUUGAACCGCAUGGUUCAAUAGUGAAAGACGGUUUUGCUGUCACUUAUAGAUGGAUCCGCGCCGCAUUAGCUAGUUGGUAAGGUAACGGCUUACCAAGGCAACGAUGCGUAGCCGACCUGAGAGGGUGAUCGCCCACCCGGGAACUGGGACACGGACAAGGCUCCUACGGGAGGCAGCAGUAGGGAAUCGUCCGCAAUGGGCGAAAGCCUGACGGAGCAACGCCGCGUGAGUGAUGAAGGUCUUCGGAGCGUAAAACUCUGUUAUUAGGGAAGAACAAAUGUGUAAGUAACUAUGCACGUCUUGACGGUACCUAAUCAGAAAGCCACGGCUAACUACGUG
rnacentral:rRNA from 1 species